AUUGAACGCUGGCGGCAGGCCUAACACAUGCAAGUCGAGCGGAUGAAGGGAGCUUGCUCCUGGAUUCAGCGGCGGACGGGUGAGUAAUGCCUAGGAAUCUGCCUGGUAGUGGGGGAUAACGUCCGGAAACGGGCGCUAAUACCGCAUACGUCCUGAUGGAGAAAGUGGGGGAUCUUCGGACCUCACGCUCUCAGAUGAGCCUAGGUCGGAUUAGCUAGUUGGUGGGGUAAAGGCCUACUAAGGCGACGAUCCGUAACUGGUCUGAGAGGAUGAUCAGUCACACUGGAACUGAGACACGGUCCAGACUCCUACGGGAGGCAGCAGUGGGGAAUAUUAGACAAUGGGCGAAAGCAUGAUACAGCCAUGCCGCGUGUGUGAAGAAGGUCUUCGGAUUAUAAAGCACUUUAAGUUGGGAGGAAGGGCAGUAAGUUAAUACCUUGCUGUUUUGACGUUACCAACAGAAUAAGCACCGGCUAACUUCGUG
rnacentral:rRNA from 1 species